rnacentral:tRNA from 1 species
ACCGCGGUAGCUCAGCUAGUAGAGCACCUGUCCGGUAUGCGGGGGGUCGCCGGUUCGAUUCCGGCUCGUGGCG